rnacentral:rRNA from 1 species
UACGAAGGGGGCUAGCGUUGCUCGGAAUCACUGGGCGUAAAGCGCACGUAGGCGGAUUCCUAAGUCGGGGGUGAAAUCCUGGAGCUCAACUCCAGAACUGCCUUUGAUACUGGCGAUCUUGAGUCCGGGAGAGGUGAGUGGAACUGCGAGUGUAGAGGUGAAAUUCGUAGAUAUUCGCAAGAACACCAGUGGCGAAGGCGGCUCACUGACCCGGUACUGACGCUGAGGUGCGAAAGCGUGGGGAGCAAACAGG